rnacentral:rRNA from 1 species
AAGACUUUAGAUAUGAUCCAGAGUACCACGGGACACGUGAAACCCUGUGGGAAGCAGGAGGGACCACCCUCCAAGGCUAAAUACUACCUAGUGACCGAUAGCGUAUAGUACCGUGAGGGAAAGGUGAAAAGAACCCCGGGAGGGGAGUGAAAUAGAACCUGAAACCCUGCACUUACAAGCUGUGGAAGCACAUUUCUUGUGUGACCGCGUACUUUUUGUAGAACGGGCCAACGAGUUACGUUAAGUAGCAAGGUUAAGCACUUAAGGUGCGGAGCCGUAGCGAAAGCGAGUUUUAACUGAGCGUUCAGUUACUUGACGUAGACCCGAAACCGGGCGACCUACCCAUGAGCAGGAUGAAGCGAAAGUAAAAUUUCGUGGAGGGCCGAACCCACGAGCGUUGAAAAGCUCGGGGAUGACUUGUGGGUAGCGGUGAAAUUCCAAUCGAGCCCGGAGAUAGCUGGUUCUCCCCGAAAUAGCUUUAGGGCUAGCCUCAAGGUGAGAGAUACGGAGGUAGAGCACUG